CGUUCAUCUUUUUUGUUUAAUUUUAUAUUCUAAAAAGAAAAUAAACAAUUACAUUAAAUAUAUAAUAAACAAUUUAGAUUUUUUCUUAUAUGUUAUCUUUUGAAUUUUAAAAAAUGACUAUAAAUCUAUAAUAAUAAAGUUGAGUAUAUUCUCUCUUCAUGAAGACACCUCAUCGAUAUGCAUAGGGUAUUUUUUGCCACGUGUCACCGCAACAAAACUUUAUGGGAGUAGAGUUUUUAUAGAGUUGGUUGAUUCUAAAAGUCAAGAGAUUUGUUAAAUUUGUAAAGAGUUAUAAAGAGUAUUUCAUAUUUUAAAAGUUUAUGAAAAUGUUCUAAUUCAAGGAUUUUAAGAAUCUAGAGGAAAUAUGCAAGAUUUUUGAAGUUUUGUCUUAUGAGUAAAAUUAUCUAAAAUUCAAUUCCCAAUAACUCUAGAUUUGAUGGAAACUUAGAAUCUUUAAAAACCAAACUUUUUGAAUAAUAAGAGAUUUUGUAAGUCAUUAAACAAUCAUCAAACCAAUAACAAUAGAUUUUAGUAAGAAUCUUAGAAUCCACCAACCAAUAACAAUAGAAUUUGAGAAUUUUAUCAGUCACUACAAAUCCAUAUCCCACUAACCAGGGCCGUCUCAAAUUUUGUUUGGACCAUGUUCAAAAAAUAUUAACGUUAUAUUUAAAAUAUAAUAAAAUAAUUUAAUAAAUUAAUAAUUUUAUUUAUAUAUAUUUAACAUUUUUAUAAAUUAUAAAUUAGUGAAUACUAUAUUUAAUUGAAAAUUUAGACCAUAAUUUAUACAUAUAUUGUUAAAAAUUCUAAAAAUUUUAUUUUUAAUAUUCGGACCCUGUUCGACCGCUCCAGUUGCACGUGCUGUUAGACGGCCCUGCCACUAACACCCCCUUAAUGAAACCAAUUUUUUCGUACUCAAAUUGUUCUAUAAACCAUUAUGGACUCUCCAACGUUUAUACCAAGACCUAAUAUUUUAUUUAGGCUUAUAUCAGGUUUUUGUUGUGUCCAAGCCCAAGUUUGGUGUGUCUGAGCACAAAAUGUAGUCCCGUUCAUCCCGACGAAGCCGAUUAACUUCAUGUAACAUCUUCGAUUCCCAUUUAUUUUCUUCUUUCCGACUAUUAACAUGCUUCAUCCCACUCGCCCCACUCUUCAUACGUAACCGGCGGAAGGUCUCCUAUAUAUUUUCAUGCUAACGUCGAUGAAUCUACGAAAUCUAUGCUAAUUACCAGCUCCAACAAUGGCGAAUUCCUUCAUCUUCUUGCUGAUUUGAAGAGGGUCUCUGUUCGACCACAGCCGAGGAGGUUUAGGGAUUCUACGAUUGUGUCUCAAGAUGUGGAUGCUCUCGCUCUCCAAUCCUACAUCGGCAUGGACAAAUCUCUAGGCAUUCUUUCUCCAAGUAUUUACAUAUACCUCUCCUUCUCUCUCUCAAUAUUUUCCCACCAUAUUGAGUUUCUGUGUAACUUUAAUUGUCGUUUGUCUGUAUGUGCGUUUCAGUUUCCUGAGAUGAUGUUGAUUUUUUUUGAAUCGAUGAUGCCGUGGUCAAAUUAGGUGAGAUUCAUAAUUCUUUGUAAAUAGAUUUAAACCUUAUUUGGAUUCCAAAACUAAGAAAAUUGUGUGGUUGUUGUAGGAGUUAACGUUGGUGUAUAUAUGAUGUGGACAAUAUAUUGGAGAGCAUCGGGGUACACUCACUUUCUUUAGAAAAAGUUAGCUCAUGUCACUCUGUUUGAGCUGAUUCUAUGUCUCACUCAGGUUUUGUCUAGAAAAUGGAAGUAUCUUUACUCUUAGAAAGGUUUUUUUCAGAUUAUUCGCUCUUUACAUCAACUCAAAGUACACUUUAAAUAGCCCUCAAUGUUUUUUUGUUUCGUCUCACUAUCUGAUUUUUGAGAAAAUGGUUUUUGAUAUUUACUUUUGUUUACAGGAAGAAGUUUGAGAAAGCUAGUAUCUGCAGCAGUUCCCACAAGGUACCAUAUGCCCCUCGCACCCCUUAUUUAUUCGCACGGAAAUGCUUUUGAUAGCGGUCAGAUGUACGAGCUCUGCAUCAACCUUAGUAUUCACCUCUGUGUCAAUUUAGAUAGGGUUAGUUCUUCGUUUUCUUUUGUGUGUAUUCAUUUGAUGAUACUGAAUCUUGAUUUAAAAUUUACAGAUCAGAUUUUACAUUAUAUGUUUUAGCUCCAAAAGUUCAUUCUGAGAAAUUCCAGAUUGUGUAUAUAAUUUGAUGUCUAUGUGAAUUUGAAGCUUCCAAGGGUCGCUUAUCUUUGUUGGCAUUAUCACUCUUCGAUGACCAUACCACACACGAGAAACAAACAACAACAAGCUUUUGAACGUGUCUCAAUACUUACUAUUGGCCUCACGUCUACAGAUAUAACAUGGUGUUGUACAGCUCCCUGACUUUUCUAAUUGUGUUUAAGUCUUCUGUCAAGGUUUUGAUAUUUGGUUCCAAACUCCAGUCAGCGUCCUGGAGGGCAUGGCAAAGAAAUAACAUAGGCAAUUACUUAUGAACCUGAUGCGGAAGUGACCCCAAGAAGAAACGCUUCUUGGAGCCCUUAAAUAUGUCAGAACCCUCACAGUACUCACUCAUUUCUGCUUCUUGAUUAUUAUUACAUAGAUAAUAAUAAUAAAAUAAGUUUCUUAAGUUAAGAUUAACAAAUCGAAAGUAAAAAAUGUAUUAUUUUAGCACUUUUUAGAUGUCGUUGACUUCUCUUCACAAUAAGAUUACGCAAUGUGUUAGGGUUUGUUAUAUGCUUUGGAACAUCUAUGAAUGUCACAACAAAUUUUGUAACCAAAUAAAGCUAUUAUGUUUAAAAAAAAAUUUGCAAGCAAAUCUUAAUAUAAAAAACGAGAGGGGGAGAGAACAUGGUCAGUGGCUUCAAAUAAGAAACUGGUUAGUAAUCUGAAAAUUGAAAAUAAAAUUUCAUCUGAUUUCAAAUGAUGACGCAAAAUAAACGAUAAAUAAAGAAGUAUGUUUAUCUAACUAACAAUAAUUUAUCUAAUUUAAGUUUUUAGGUAUGUUUACUAUCAUAUCUCAUUGUCGAUAUACAACUUAAUAAAAAUAUAGAUUUAAUUAUUUAUAUUUUUGUCGUAUGAUGAAGGCCAAAUUUAUUAAUAUCAUAAUAAAAAUAAUAACUCCAUUCAAAUAAUAAACAAUUCAACUAUUACACUUUAAAAACAAACAUUAUUUUUACUAUUGAAAAAAUUCCAUAAAUAUAAAAAUAAAAUUUUAUAUGAUACAAAUAUAAUAAAAUGAAAUAACAAAAAUAAAUAAAACAAAAAUAAUAGUACAAUUCCAUGCAGAAGAGUCAUCUCAGUCCAAAAGGCUUUAAAAUAUCAAAUAAAUAAAAUAACUCAGACAAAAAAAAUUUCUUUCAGUGCAUAUAUGAAACAAAAUUAAUAAAUAUGUAUAUGAGCCUGAAGUAAGAGUCUAUGUGAAAAUUACAUGUUGUGCUAAUGGUAUACGCAAAAUACACAUCAUAUUUUCGCAUAUUAGAUCAUUCAUCAUGUUUUGUAAAAACUAUGUUUUCCUAACUUAAAUAAUCAAAAAGGCUAUAUAUUUUUCUAUCGAUUCUAAUGCAUUCCUCUUGAUGAUAUUGAAGUAUAAUAGUUUACUUAAGUGUGUGAUUAUAAUAUGUUUAAUAAUAUUUGCUUGGUUUGGGCUCUAUUAGAAAUUUAGUUUGACAAAACUUAUCAACUUUCUAAUUUUGAAAUGAUAAUUGUAAGAUAACUAAGAUGCAGACAUGUGUAUCUUUUCUUAAAAUAUAAAAAAAUAUCUAAUUAAUUAUAAAGUCUUUCAAGUAUAAAAUUUUUAAUACAAAAGUAAAAUCAAUUAUGCUGAUAGGAUAGUCAAAUUAACAUAUCUUCAUGUCUUCGAUAAAUAGUUUAUUUUCUAAGAUACCAUGAUUUUUUUCAUAAAUUUAUAAAAUCACAUAAAUCUGUGUUAACAACUAAAUCAUAUAUUUAAAAUAUGUAUCAAAAUACCUAAAUAAUAUUCUAAAAACCGGCGCGUAGCGCCGGCAAACCUCUAGUUACUAAUAUUGUUAAAUGUCUCACAUUAAAAAAAUUGUGAUCAAUGGUUUAACUUUUUUUUUGUUAUAACAAGAUACAAAUGAUUAUAAAUCAUAUAAAUAAGAAGUUUCAUUUAAUAUAUAUUCAGAUUAUAUAUAUAUAUAUAAUAUUUAAUAUAUAAUAUUUAAAUAUAUACCAUAUAAAAUACAUAAAUAUGUUAAUUUCAAAAUUUUCAUUGCAAAAGUAUCGAGACCUUAAUAUUUUAAUUUUAAAAUUUGCAUUUAAUUUUUAAAAACGAUUAUAAAUCACUAAAUUAUUAAAAAUCUAAUACUGAAAAUUUUGUGAUUAAUGGUUUAAUAUUUUUGGUACAACAAAUGUAUAAAUGUUAAUAAAAUUAUAUGAGUAGAUAGCUUCAAUUAAUAAAUAUCCAUAUUAAAAUAUACUAUAUAUCUAUGUCAAUAUCAUUUAAAUUUAAUUAUAAAGUAAAUAAAAUGAUUGUUUUUAUUUAUUUACCAAUAACUAUUAUUGUAGACAAGAGGGAUUGUUUUGAUUUAUUUAAUUACUCCAACUUAAUUAUGUACAUAAUAGUUAUUCAAUUCUCAAUUAUUCUAUAUAUUUAUUAUUUCAUAAUAUAUAAUGAACACAAAAUAAAAAAAUAAUAUGUCAGAUUUUAUCGUAUAAGGAAGGUGUAUUCAUUUCACGUAAGAUCUAUAUAUAUAUAAACAAUGGUUUCCUUCACUCCUAGGCCAUCCACAUCAGAUUUUAUGUCAAUAAGUCGGAGUAUGUGGUGGUGACAUGUGUCGCGGUCAAUCAAAACUCAAUGUUUCAUUUAUUCUUGAGUUUAAUAGAUUUUAUGUGUUACAGCCCAAAUACAUAUUCUCCAAAAACUGUAUACGAAACCUAGAGAAAGUGGCCACCGUGCAACAAUUUUCGUUCAGUCAACUGUCAAUAGAAAUCCAACGGUUUCACCAGUGACGAAUGAUUCCGAUCAAUGUGAGUUGGAAACCAUCGUUUUUGGCGAAUAGACUUCUUUAAUCUGGUGCUGUUACGGAAAUUAACUUGGUUCAUGCAUCUUCAUCAACAUUCGCAUUAAUACCUAUUCUCCACUUCUCACACUAGAAUCUCACAUUCAGUGAAUCCCUCCAUUCAUUCAUUUUUAUUAAUCCUCCAUUAUAAAUAUGAAAGUUUUCUUCAAAAAAUCAUCAGUUCAUUUCUCUUAAUAAACAAUACAAACAUGUGAUGAAAAAAAGAUCUAUUAAGCCCAUGGUUGUGCUUAUGGAUUGCGAGAGAAAAGUAAUAAGAAACAGAAGAAAUGAGAUGAAAAACAAAAUAAACAGAGAAGAAGAGUAAGGAAGAAGACGAUAGAAAAGGAGAGAUAACUUUUUUUUUGUCAACAUUUUUUAAUUAUGGAAAAGCCCAAAGUCUAUUACAUGGUGAAACAAUAUUAAACCCCAUCCAACCCGAAUAUAAUUUAAAAUUUAGCCCAAUAACCAACCCAAUUUACAGAUCGAUGAAACGGGUUCACUUCAUUGCACAUGAGCUUGGAAAUUGCUACACGACAUAUUAAUUUUAAUAUUGCUUAUGCAUCCUUGUUUAAUUUCACGUAUUAGGUUAUUUCUGUUUUGGAUAUUCUCAAUUAUAUGGGCACUUUAAGUGACUAUCUUUAUUCAAGUUUAUUUGCAUUCCAGUAUAAGUUAUUUUGUUUUAUACAGGUGUUUAAAUUGUAUUGGUUUAAUUUAAACGUAAAUGAAUUUAUGUUAUAAUAUGAUCGACCAAAUUUAGAGACUACCAUUUUCUAUUUAAACAGCCAAAUCACUUUGUGUUUGAGAAAUUAACGGUGAGCUUAUAUUUCAAUACUAGAAUGCUCGACGUCUUAGCUGACUUGACAUGCACGUGAAGCACUAUGCUGGAUGUCUUCUGUUCCACUAAAGGCGUUUAAAAUGUAAAAAAAUAUUAUAUAUCACAUGAUCUCUAAAAAACACAUGUACUAAGAAAAUAUUAUUACAAUAUUCAGUAUAUAUAAUGGAACAUCUACUGCAGUUAUUUAUUAUUCGUUAUCAUGAUAACACAUUUACUAAAACAAGUAGACGACGAGAUUUUUAUAAGAAGUUCCAUUUAGGAAAAAUAUACACACUGAACGAUUUAGUGAAAAUUCUGGAUAUUAUAGCUGCUUCAUUGCAUAAAUUAAUUAAUAUAUAUUAAUAAUUUCUUGCCAAAACAAAAUGACGGCCAGAUAAUUGAAUAGUCAAUUUCAGAUAUGGAUCAAACACACCCAAAAAUUACUGAUACUUAUGUAAC